GGGCUGUGUUCAUUCACGGCCGCCCUGCUCUGCAACAAUAUUUCAUCAGUGGUGAACUCCAAAAUCUACUGGUGAAAUGUAGUUGCGUAGGAGGCCGGCCACUGUCAACAGGGGGAACG
rnacentral:precursor_RNA from 16 species